rnacentral:rRNA from 1 species
GACGAACGCUGGCGGCGUGCUUAACACAUGCAAGUCGAACGGUGAAGCGCCUUCCUUUUUGGUGGGUGUGGAUGAGUGGCGAACGGGUGAGUAACACGUGAGUAACCUGCCCCCUUCUUCUGGAUAACCGCAUGAAAGUGUGGCUAAUACGGGAUAUUCUGGGUCUGUCGCAUGAUGGGUUUGGGAAAGAUAUUGUUUCGGUGGGGGAUGGGCUCGCGGCCUAUCAGCUUGUUGGUGGGGUGAUGGCCUACCAAGGCGGUGACGGGUAGCCGGCCUGAGAGGGUGGACGGUCACACGGGGACUGAGACACGCCCAGACUCCUACGGGAGGCAGCAGUGGGGAAUAUUGCACAAUGGGCGCAAGCCUGAUGCAGCGACGCCGCGUGAGGGAUGGAGGCCUUCGGGUUGUGAACCUCUUUCGCCAGUGAAGCAGGCCUGCCUCGUUUGUGGGUGGGUUGACGGUAGCUGGAUAAGAAGCGCCGGCUAACUACGUG